ACGUACACUCCUGCGGGAGGCAGCAGUGGGGAAUAUUGGACAAUGGGCGCAAGCCUGAUCCAGCCAUGCCGCGUGAGUGAUGAAGGCCCUAGGGUUGUAAAGCUCUUUUGUGCGGGAAGAUAAUGACGGUACCGCAAGAAUAAGCCCCGGCUAACUUCGUGCCAGCAGCCGCGGUAAUACGAAGGGGGCUAGCGUUGCUCGAAAUCACUGGGCGUAAAGGGUGCGUAGGCGGGUCUUUAAGUCAGGGGUGAAAUCCUGGAGCUCAACUCCAGAACUGCCUUUGAUACUGAAGAUCUUGAGUUCGGGAGAGGUGAGUGGAACUGCGAGUGUAGAGGUGAAAUUCGUAGAUAUUCGCAAGAACACCAGUGGCGAAGGCGGCUCACUGGCCCGAUACUGACGCUGAGGCACGAAAGCGUGGGGAGCAAACAGGAUUAGAAACCCGUGUAGUCCCAU
rnacentral:rRNA from 1 species